CCUACGGGUGGCAGCAGUGGGGAAUAUUGGACAAUGGGGGCAACCCUGAUCCAGCCAUGCCGCGUGUGUGAAGAAGGCCCUCGGGUUGUAAAGCACUUUCAGUGAGGAAGAACGCCUGGUGGUUAAUACCCAUCAGGAAAGACAUCACUCACAGAAGAAGCACCGGCUAACUCCGUGCCAGCAGCCGCGGUAAUACGGAGGGUGCGAGCGUUAAUCGGAAUUACUGGGCGUAAAGCGCGCGUAGGUGGCUUGAUAAGCCGGUUGUGAAAGCCCCGGGCUCAACCUGGGAACGGCAUCCGGAACUGUCAAGCUAGAGUGCAGGAGAGGAAGGUAGAAUUCCCGGUGUAGCGGUGAAAUGCGUAGAGAUCGGGAGGAAUACCAGUGGCGAAGGCGGCCUUCUGGACUGACACUGACACUGAGGUGCGAAAGCGUGGGUAGCAAACACGAUUAGAUACCCUGGUAGUC
rnacentral:rRNA from 1 species